rnacentral:pre_miRNA from 1 species
ACACAGGGCCUGAUCCAAAGUCCAUUGAAUUCAGUGGGAGACUUUGCAUUGACUUCAAUGGGCUUUGGGUUAGGCCCAUUGCCU